GGCUUCCUGUUUACAUUUUUGAACUCCGCAUGCUUUCAACUUCCAAGCUUGACGCUGUUGUUCAUGACAUUGUGAAAAAUAUAUGGAUAUAUAUGGGUGGUGAUGAUAUUUAGCAUCAUCCGGAAAGUCAAGCAUCGAUAUUUGGUCUACGACAAUUUGCCUACUGGUCAUCAAAGGGCUCGGUACAACGUAAGCUUUGCCUUUUUCUGGCAAUAGAUGCUGGAAUUUUUUCAAAACGCCAACUACACGUGCAAGCUUACUUUGAAGAUGUUCUUUGUGACUAUCCCAUAGCAUGAAUUCAUUAAAGUAGACUCCAAGCAUUCUGUGUUAGUAAUUUCUAUGGCAUUCCCUCCUAAGGCUGCUGGAAAAAUUGCUUUCACUGGUGGAUCUGAUGAUGGUCCUCAUUUCUGUGGCUGGCACAUGAAGAGUAAGCUUGCAGAUAUUGAACAGCUGAUGGUGCGACAAGAAUCCCAGUAUCUUCCUUGCUGUACAUUUUGAAACAAUUCUUGAACAUACAAUUUCCGUCGUGAAGUGGUACAUCCUUUGGUCAUCCUACUGUGUUGCUCCUGAAAUGCCAAUAAAGAUUACAAUGUAGAAAAUUUGCUUUGU